GUGGUUAUGGUGAAGGGGUUAACACACCGGAUUGUGAUUCCGGCAUUCGAGGGUUCAAAUCCCUCUAACCACCCCA
rnacentral:tRNA from 1 species